UGCUGACGAGUGGCGGACGGGUGAGUAACGCGUAGGAAUCUGCCCAUCUGUGGGGGAUACCAGUUGGAAACGACUGUUAAUACCGCAUAAUAUCUGCGGAUUAAAGGUGGCCUUUGUGCUGCCGCAGAUGGAUGAGCCUGCGUUGGAUUAGCUUGUUGGUGGGGUAAAGGCCUACCAAGGCUACGAUCCAUAGCUGAUUUGAGAGGAUGAUCAGCCACAUUGGGACUGAGACACGGCCCAAACUCCUACGGGAGGCAGCAGUGGGGAAUAUUGGACAAUGGGCGAAAGCCUGAUCCAGCAAUGCCAUGUGUGUGAAGAAGGCUCUAGGGUUGUAAAGCACUUUAGUUGGGGAGGAAAGCUUAUGAGUUAAUAGCUCAUAAGAAGGACGUUACCCAAAGAAUAAGGACCGGCUAACUCCGUGCCAGCAGCCGCGGUAAUACGGGGGGUCCGAGCGUUAAUCGGAAUUACUGGGCGUAAAGGGUCUGUAGGUGGUUUGUUAAGUCAGAUGUGAAAGCCCAGGGCUCAACCUUGGAACUGCAUUUGAUACUGGCAAACUAGAGUAUGGUAGAGGAAUGGGGAAUUUCUGGUGUAGCGGGUGAAAUGCGUAGAGAUCAGAAGGAACACCAAUGGCGAAGGCAACAUUCUGGACCAAUACUGACACUGAGGGACGAAAGCGUGGGGAUCAAACAGGAUUAGAUACCCUGGUAGUCCACGCUGUAAACGAUGAGUACUAGCUGUUGGAUUCGGUGUAAAGGAUCUAGUGGCGCAGCUAACGCGUUAAGUACUCCGCCUGGGGACUACGGCCGCAAGGCUAAAACUCAAAGGAAUUGACGGGGACCCGCACAAGCGGUGGAGCAUGUGGUUUAAUUCGAUGCAACGCGAAGAACCUUACCUGGUCUUGACAUCCUGCGAACUUUCUAGAGAUAGAUUGGUGCCUUCGGGAACGCAGUGACAGGUGCUGCACGGCUGUCGUCAGCUCGUGUUGUGAAAUGUUGGGUUAAGUCCCGCAACGAGCGCAACCCCUAUUGAUAGUUACCAUCAUUAAGUUGGGUACUCUAUUGAGACUGCCGCUGACAAGGCGGAGGAAGGUGGGGACGACGUCAAGUCAUCAUGGCCCUUACGACCAGGGCUACACACGUGCUACAAUGGGUAUUACAGAGGGCUGCGAAGGUGCGAGCUGGAGCGAAACUCAGAAAGGUACUCUUAGUCCGGAUUGCAGUCUGCAACUCGACUGCAUGAAGUCGGAAUCGCUAGUAAUCGCAGGUCAGAAUACUGCGGUGAAUACGUUCCCGGGUCUUGUACACACCGCCCGUCACACCAUGGGAGUGGGUUGCUCCAGAAGUAGAUAGCUUAACGAA
rnacentral:rRNA from 1 species